rnacentral:rRNA from 1 species
GUAGGGAAUAUUGGGCAAUGGUCGGAAGACUGACCCAGCCAUGCCGCGUGCAGGAAGACGGCCCUCUGGGUUGUAAACUGCUUUUAUCUGGGAAGAAAAAGGCCAUGCGUGGCAAAUUGCCGGUACCAGAUGAAUAAGCACCGGCUAACUCCGUGCCAGCAGCCGCGGUAAUACGGAGGGUGCGAGCGUUGUCCGGCUUUAUUGGGUUUAAAGGGUGCGUAGGCGGCUGAUUAAGUCAGCGGUGAAAGACUUCGGCUUAACCGGAGCAGUGCCGUUGAUACUGGUUGGCUUGAGUGUCGGAGGGGUACAUGGAAUUGAUGGUGUAGCGGUGAAAUGCAUAGAUACCAUCAGGAACACCGAUAGCGAAGGCAUUGUACUGGCCGACAACUGACGCUGAUGCACGAAAGUGUGGGGAUCGAACAGGAUUAGAAACCCGGGUAGUCC